UACAGAGGUCGCAAGCGUUGUUCGGAUUUACUGGGCGUAAAGGGCACGUAGGCUGCGAGGCGUGUCGAGUGUGAAAUCUCCGGGCCCAACCCGGAAAGUGCGCUCGAAACUACCUUGCUCGAGUACGGGAGAGGGAAGGGGAAUAUAGGGUGUAGCGGUGAAAUGCGUUGAUAUCCUAUAGAACACCGGAGGCGAAGGCGCCUUCCUGGAACGUUACUGACGCUAAGGUGCGAAAGUCGGGGGAGCAAAC
rnacentral:rRNA from 1 species